rnacentral:lncRNA from 1 species
GGAUGAUCCUGCCACGGGGCAGGCGGGCCCUCCAGGAGGAGGAAGGAGGUCCUGCGCUCCAAGGCCCAUGUGGCUGCGGCCCAAGGUCCCGAGGCUCUGGGAAUGGUCAGGGAGUCCAGGGCGGCUGCUCCAGCUCCAGGGAGUGACCUGCCUCCCGCCGCCGCCUCGCCCUCUUUCAGGAGCGGGCCCGACUGCCCCCUGGUGGCCACGGGAUGCUACCCUAAGCCACCCGCAACCCAAGCCGCUGAGUGCCCAUCUCGGGCCCCCUGCUUUUCCCAGUGUCCUCCAGAGUCCUCCUGCUCCUCAAAGGACAGAUUCAGAGCUUGCCUCAGCUUUCCUAAGGCUCAGAGUCGCCAUUCUUGAUUCAAGGCUAAAGCCUCCAGCCUCCCACCAGCCUCUCCCCGCAUGAGGUGUUCCCGGAUCCUACCCCUACGCUGUCACUCAGCGUCUCUCCCCAGAUUUUCGAUAUGCUUCCAGAAACGUCUUUUCACCUACAGGGAAAUACACACAUCCGAUUAUAU